rnacentral:rRNA from 1 species
UACGGAGGAUGCGAGCGUUAUCCGGAUUUAUUGGGUUUAAAGGGUGCGUAGGCGGACGCUUAGGUCAGCGGUAAAAUUGCGGGGCUCAACCUCGUCGAGCCGUUGAAACUGGGUGUCUUGAGUGGGCGAGAAGUACGCGGAAUGCGUGGUGUAGCGGUGAAAUGCAUAGAUAUCACGCAGAACUCCGAUUGCGAAGGCAGCGUACCGGCGCCCAACUGACGCUGAAGCACGAAGGCGUGGGUAUCGAACAGG